UAGGGAAUCUUCCGCAAUGGACGCAAGUCUGACGGAGCAACGCCGCGUGAGUGAUGAAGGUUUUCGGAUCGUAAAGCUCUGUUGCCCUAGACGAACAGCAGGGAGAGUAACUGCUCUCUGUGUGACGGUAUAGGAGAAGAAAGCCCCGGCUAACUACGUGCCAGCAGCCGCGGUAAUACGUAGGGGGCAAGCGUUGUCCGGAAUUAUUGGGCGUAAAGCGCGCGCAGGCGGCGGAUUAAGUUUGGUGUUUAAGCCCGGGGCUCAACCCCGGUUCGCAUCGAAAACUGGUUCGCUUGAGUGUAGGAGAGGAAAGUGGAAUUCCACGUGUAGCGGUGAAAUGCGUAGAGAUGUGGAGGAACACCAGUGGCGAAGGCGACUUUCUGGCCUAUAACUGACGCUGAGGCGCGAAAGCGUGGGGAGCAAACA
rnacentral:rRNA from 1 species